CUUUUAUAUUUCUUUUAAAAAGUGAAUUCAUUCCUCUUUGAGUUUAUCCGUUCUUUGUGGACGCUAUCAUUGAUUUUUAGUAUUCUUUUUAACCCAGCUUAGAUUCGAUUCAAGAGUGCACCGUUCUUCCUUUUAAUUGUUCCUUUCGAAAUUCUUAGAUUCAAAUUCCUUCCUAGAAUUACAACUUGAAUUCCUACCAACCUCGUAUUUAUUUUUAUGUAAAUUCUUAUUUUAUUAUGUAAAAUGUCUUUCAAGGUUUUGGAGAAAAUAUUUUAUCCUUAGCCUAACUAAUUUUCAUUUUACAAAUCUUGCAUAAUCUAAUUCGACUUGAAUCUUGUUCCGAGGGUUACCUGAAACUGUAGGUCGAUCUUGGAUGAGAUCGUCUGUGUUGGUCGGAACCGACGUGUCCGGCAGGUGGAUAUCGGCCGGAGCUGGUGUGUCCGACUUGUUGGACUUGGUGGUGGUGCUGAUCCUUCGUCCCCGGAGGGUGGGGGGUACCUGCAAGAGACUCCGAUGCUUAAGUUAGCAAAGGUAUUACGCAGGUAUUGAGUAGAAUCAGAGUAUGAGUUAUACCUGGGUGCUCCAGUGUAUUUAUAUUGGUGAGAUGUGGCCUUCUGUGGAUAAGAUAAGUUAGUUAUCUUAUCUUAUCUUUAUCUUUAAGUGAGGUCAUCUUUAUCUCUAAGGGAACCGCCCUUCUUUCUGUAGGCUUGGGCCGCCUUAGGAUUUGGGACGUGUUCCUCUAUUUGGGCCCUUUGUUUGGGCUUUUCUGUGAUUUGUCCGAGCUCUUUGAGAAGAGGUCGGGUUGUCCUGACUUGAAGAGGUCGGUCGCUUUGUCUGUAGAACAUCCCGGGUCGGACAGCUCGACCCAGGGUAUGAACAGUGCCCCUGCUUGAGCUCGGUUUUUCUGUUGAGGUCGAAUUUUUUGACUUCGGUCCUUUCAUGAUGAAGCCGAACUCAAGCAUUUUGUCGAUUUCUUCUUUUUGUAGAAUCUUUUGAAUGUAGAACGUUUUCCUCUAAAGGCGCGCGUUUUUAUAUCAGCGCUUUGCUUUGGGAACGUGAAAGGGUUUAGUACCUUCAUUAAUUGGUAUUAAUUGCCCCGUUUUCUCCUGGCUUUUAUUUUGAAUCUCUCAAUCAAAAAACGGUUUCUCUUCUUUCACUUCUUCUCUGUAACUCCUCCCUUUACUUUCUCAUUUUCUGUUUCUUGCCCAGAGUUUGUAGUUUCUUUUUUGUGACGUCUGUUCUGCUACUGCGUUUUUUGGAAGAGGGCUGAUUCCACAUUUUCUUCUUCUGUCUUUGCAUUCUUCCACUUCGAGGGGGUGGCUUUGUUGCUUCUGUUCUUCAGCUUUCUUCGAGGUUUUCUUCUAUUCUCCAGAGGCAAUGAAGAAUAACGAAUCCAUGAAGGCUUUUAAGAGGGCACAGAAGGCGACUGCUGCCAGGAAUAUUGCCGCCAAGGCGGCUGGGGAGGGGUCCUUGAUGAUUAGAUUUUUGACGGUUUAGAAUUUCACAAAUGAAUUCUCGUUGCAAGUAUAGUUUCUAAACCAAUCAAUAAUCCUUUCAUACAAAAAUUUGUUUGUCACUAGUACAAACUCCUAAAAUUUAUAAACCGAAGUAUUCAAACCUCGGGUCGUUCUCCCUAGGAAUUACA